rnacentral:rRNA from 1 species
AAACCAACAGGGAUUGCCUUAGUAGCGGCGAGUGAAGCGGCAAAAGCUCAAAUUUGAAAUCUGGCUCUUUCAGAGUCCGAGUUGUAAUUUGAAGAAGGUAUCUUUGGGCCUGGCUCUUGUCUAUGUUUCUUGGAACAGAACGUCACAGAGGGUGAGAAUCCCGUGCGAUGAGAUGAUCCAGGUCUAUGUAAAGUUCCUUCGAAGAGUCGAGUUGUUUGGGAAUGCAGCUCUAAGUGGGUGGUAAAUUCCAUCUAAAGCUAAAUAUUGGCGAGAGACCGAUAGCGAACAAGUACAGUGAUGGAAAGAUGAAAAGAACUUUGAAAAGAGAGUGAAAAAGUACGUGAAAUUGUUGAAAGGGAAGGGCUUGAGAUCAGACUUGGUAUUUUGUAUGUUACUUCUUCGGGGGUGGCCUCUACAGUUUACCGGGCCAGCAUCAGUUUGGGCGGUAGGAGAAUCGCUUGGGAACGUGGCACGACCUCGGUUGUGUGUUAUAGCCCUUGUGGAUACUGCCAGCCUAGACUGAGGACUGCGAUUUAUAUCUAGGAUGUUGGCAUAAUGAUCUUAAGUCGC